AUUGAACGCUGGCGGCAUGCCUAACACAUGCAAGUCGAACGGUAGCAGGAAAAGCCUUGCUUCCUGGCUUUCGAGUCGCGGACGGGUGUGUAAUGUCUGGAAAACUGCUUGAUGAAGGGGGUUAACUACUGAAAACGGUACCUAAUACCGCAUAUCGUUGCAAGACCAAGGUGGAGGACCGUCAGACCGCUUUCCAUCGACUGUGCCCAGAUGGGAUUAGCUAGUAGGUGGGGUAACGGGUUACGGAGGCGACGAUCCCUAGCUGGUCUGAGAGGAUGAACAGCCACACUGGAACUGAGACACGGUCCAGACUCCUACGGGAGGCAGCAGUGGGGAAUAUUGCACAAUGGGCGAAAGCCUGAUGCAGCAAUGCCGCGUGUAUGAAGAAGGCCUUCGGGUUGUAAAGUACUUUCAGCGGGGAGGAAGAGAGUAAAGUUAAUCCCUGUACACAUUGACGUUACCUGCAGAAGAAGCACCGGCUAACUCCGUG
rnacentral:rRNA from 1 species